rnacentral:lncRNA from 1 species
UGGCCGCCAUUGUGGUGGAAGUCGGAGCGAGUCUCCUGGGCCCGAACCGGCUGUUGGAAGUGCGAGGGCACCGAGAGCCACGGUACCUGUCUGUUUUUCCCAUGGUAAAAGAACAAGAAAGACAGAACAAAGAAGGCAGAGCAGAAAAGUUCCAUGUUCCUCCUCACUCCAUCUUGCCUAGCCAAAACAAUUGAACAGUUUCAGAUAUCUAUUUCAAAGAUUUCAGAUAAGUUCUAAAAUGUUUUCUUUUGUUGUGACUUCAGCCUUGACUUGCCUCUACUCUUAAGCACACGUCUAAGCCUGAUCAAAAGGACAAUGUGGGAAUGCAUGAAAGAAUAAUGUGUGCUUUUCAAAAGAUAAGCCAGAUACUGGAAGCAGAAACUCUGAAGGACAAAGUUAAAAUCUAAAGGUAAAUCUUGCUAUCCUUGUGUCUGUAAGAUACAUAGAUUGACAAAAGUAACUAUAAUACAGAGCUAUUUAGAUAAUUCAAAAGAAUUACAUCUUUAGAUUAUUUUAUUGGCUUAUAUCUGAAGAACUAUAAGUUCCAUUUUUAUGCAUAAAUUAGUAGCCUAUUAGUUUCUUUUAAAAAUUCUCUGUAGAUGGAAAGCUUACAUUGGAGUUUUCAUCUUUUCUUUCUCCUUGCCAUUUCUUCAUCAGUUAUCUUUAGUCUAUUACAUGUAUACACACACAUAUGUAGAUAUACACACGGAUAUAUAUAUAUAUAUAUAUAUAUAUGUAUUUUCCUGAAACAAGGUGUUGCACUGUCGCCUAGGCUAGGGUGCAGUGGUGCAGUCACAGCUCACUGCAGCCUCGACCAACUGGGCUCCAGCGAGCCUAUAUCACCUUAGCCUCCUGAGUAGCGUGUAGUACAGACCACCACUCCCAGCUGAUUUUUGUAUUUUUUGUAGAGAUGGGGUUUCACCAUGUUGCCCCAGGCUGUUCUGGAACUCCUGGACUCAAGUGAUCCACCCGCCUCAGCCUCCCAAAGUGCUGGGAUUAUAGGCAUGAGCCUCUGUGCCCAGCCUGUAAAUACAUUUAUGUGAAGACUUUGCUAAAGAAAGAGACAAUGAAAUCAGUGAAGACACCAAUAUGGUACAUGAAAAACAACUUGGAGCAUUAAAUCAAAAUUGCCAAAGAUCACCUUUUUCAAGUGUAAGGCUUGUUUCUUUGUAUACACUUAUCUCUUUUGCAACUUCAUGUUAUCCUGAUGUCUGGGAUAUUAACUUUAAAGAUGAUUUUAUCGUUUUAUUAUGGUAGUUAUUCCUUCGUUCACUUUCCCCUUUAUUGUGGUUAAUCUGCGAAGUAGAUUUGGUCAUGUAAUACACUUUAUUUUUAGCAGUCUCACAGUGUCGUAAAUCUUGUAUUUUAUUGCCUUUAAUGUAAGAAUGAAGGCCAGCAAUCAGGGUGAGGCUGUUCUGUUUCAAACUUGACACUCAAAAACUAACUUCUGUGUUUUCUAUUUUAAGGCUUACUACAGGUAGACUACUUCAGCCAUCAAUUAAAAUAAGCUUUUCUUAAAAAUGAGAUGAUAAUUAGUGACAGCAUUAGAAUCCCUAAUAGUGCGUGUAUGUGUGUGCAUGCACGUGGAUGCAGUAUGAUAGUGGCUGCAGCGACAGAAAACCAAAGUAAUGUGGCUUAACCAUAAUAGGCAUUUAUUUCUCUCUCAUGUAAAAGCCCGAAAAGUGGUCUAUAUUUAUCAGACUUUUUU